AUUCGAUUUUGGAAUUUUUGAUUAUUUAAUUGUGGAAAUGAUUAUAUAAAUGGAAUAUUUCACUUGGGAGUUGAUUUUAUGGAACAAAUGUAUAUUAAAUGGGUGGAAUUGUGGUUACUAGUUUCACUAGAUUAGAGAGUAAAAUUAGUUUAAACUUGGGAAGAAGGUUUUGUUGAUGAAUUAGUUAUUAGAAAAGGGAUUAGAAAGUGGGAUUAGCUCCAGUUGAUCAAAAGAAUAUUUGGGAAAUUCAUUCGAGUAUCGACCAAUUUUAGUUAAGUAUUAUAGAAGUAGAUCUUAAAGUUUCUUAAUUUAAUAGUGGUUGAUUAAUCAUCUUGUUAUGUAUUCCAGGUGGUGACGAGGAGAUUGGAAGAGCCUAUCGACCAUCUUAGGUUCAGCUUGUAUUAUAUAGUAGCUGAGUUGAGCACUACUGGGCCAGUUGAUCUAUCAAGUUGAGCCAUAGAUUGUCAAGCAUUGUAUGAAUUAUUUUUUCAAUUUAAUAGUUCAUAUUUUGGGAUAGACACCUCUUUUGGUUAUAAAUUAAUUCCAUGUGUUGGGCUUGCUAUGUUUUGUAUAUAUAUUAUGCAUUUUUGGUACUGUGGUUUAGAAAUUGUUGCAAAAGUCGAAUUGCUAGUGUUGUAUUUGAAUAGUUGAUAUUUUGAGGGGCCGGUGUACCCUAUUUCAAACUAUAUGUACAUAUUUGGGAUAUUUGAUUUUAUUUUCAUGUGGUUUUAGAACAUUUUUCAGAGGGAACUCUUCCGAAAUUUUUAUAAAAUUAUAACAGUCAAAGCAUGUCAAGUUUGCUUUGGUGGUGGGUUCAACACUUCGCUGGUAUCUACCAUCGACGCACGAUACAUGUCGGAUCCAUUAGGUGAUCGGGAUGGGUCGUGUCAGAGAGCAAGGUGAAAACUGAGUUCGAUAAGGUGGUUGGUCUGAGAGACGAAGCUUUGAAUCUUCAUUUUGUCUUCGAAAAAGAAAGGCAUUUCAUGCUGAAGAAAAUAGAGCAACGGAAGAGUGUCUAAUCAAAGCAGAAACAGAGAUAGAGCCCAAAGCUAAGGUUGAAGAAGAGUUGAAACACAAGCUUCAAGUGAUGAAGACCUGAGAGAAGGUUUCGGCACGUGCUGAAAAUGAGAAAAAAGCUGCUAAAGAGCAAGCUCGUGUCGAAGAUGAGAAGAAGAGGUUAGAAGAAGAGUGAGCUUGCACUAAUAAAUAAAAAGAGUCUAAAAGGGCUGAUAAGGAGUGGGAUUAUGCUAAUGAAUUGAGGCUGAAGUAGAUUGGAAGAGUUCACCUGCUUAUGAUCCAUUAGCCCAGGUGCCUACGUGGUGGGCCUGGCUAAAGUGAUGAGACAUAUUGAGCCUAAGAGGCUAAAGUUUGGUGUUGGCUUCUUGUAUAAAGCUUUGGACGAACAAAGAGCCUCACUUGUCGAGAUUAAUGCUGUUGUUGGAAUUGUUCCAGCUCCUUCAUAGAAUUAGCCACUUACCAUAUAGGAUUUUUAGGUUGUUUUUACAUUCUUUUUGUUGAAUGUUGAAAUACGUUUCUCCAACUCAUGUAAUCCUCCUCUAAUGGAUAAUGGAUAUCACGAUGUUUAUUGUUGUUA